rnacentral:rRNA from 1 species
UUCCUAUCCCGGUACCGUCAAGACAGGGAACUUUCCCCCCUGCCCUGUUCUUCCCGGGCGACAGUGCUUUACAACCCGAAGGCCUUCUUCACACACGCGGCGUCGCUGCGUCAGGCUUUCGCCCAUUGCGCAAUAUUCCUAACUGCUGCCUCCCGUAGGAGUCUGGACCGUGUUCCAGUUCCAGUGUGGCUGACCGUCCUCUCAGACCAGCUACCCAUCGUCGCCUUGGUGGGCCAUUACCCCGCCAACUAGCUAAUGGGACGCAGGCUCAUCUAAAAGUGAUAGCUUGUAAACAGAGGCCAUCUUUUCUCCCUAACCCUUUUGGGUCUGUGAGCUUAUCCGGUAUUAGCACGUCUUUCGACAUGUUAUCCCGAUCUUUUAGGUAGAUUACCCACGCGUUACUCACCCGUGCGCCACUUUACUCAUCCCGAAGGACUUUCUCGUGCGACUUGCAUGUUUUAGGCACGCCGCCAGCGUUCGUUCUGAGCCAGGAUCAAACUCUAAUCACUAGUGAAUUCGCGGCCGCCUGCAGGUCGACCAUAUGGGAGAGCUCCCAACGCGUUGGAUGCAUAGCUUGAGUAUUCUAUAGUGUCACCUAAAUAGCUUGGCGUAUCAUGU